UACGUAGGGUGCGAGCGUUGCCCGGAUUUAUUGGGCGUAAAGGGCGCGUAGGCGGCCACGCACGUCCGUUGUGAAAUCGCCCGUCUCAACUGGGCGGGGUCAGCGGAUACGGUGUGGCUAGAGCAAGCUAGGGGGCAAUGGAAUUCCCGGUGUAGUGGUGGAAUGCGUAGAUAUCGGGAGGAACACCAGUGGCGAAGGCGGUUGCCUGGAGCUUUGCUGACGCUGAUGCGCGAAAGCGUGGGGAGCGAUCCGG
rnacentral:rRNA from 1 species